CAGUCACUCAGGCCUAUACAGCCUGGCGUUGGGGCAUCUACAGUUGAGUGUAGGCCCUGAAAGAUAGUGGCGGUGUCCGCUAGCACUCCGGGCGCAGUACAUUUCCUUCUCGCCUAGGACGUCUUGCGGGCUGCCGGCCGUAAAACAGCCUGAAGCUCAGAA
rnacentral:misc_RNA from 1 species